rnacentral:rRNA from 1 species
CAAUAGCGUAUAUUAAAGUUGUUGCAGUUAAAAAGCUCGUAGUUGGAUUUCUGGUAGGAGUGACCGCUCCGAACUUGAUUGUUCGUGUAUUGUGUUUUCUCCAGCCAUCCUUGUGGAGAACUUUUCUUGCAUUAAUUUGUAGGGAUUGGGACCCGCAUCGUUUACUGUGAAAAAAUUAGAGUGUUUAAAGCAGGCAAUCGCUUGAAUACAUUAGCAUGGAAUAAUAAGAUAGGACUUUGGUACUAUUUUGUUGGUUUGUAUACCAAAUUAAUGAUCAACAGGAACAGUUUGAGGAUAUUCGUAUGAACAUGUCAGAGGUGAAAUUCUUGGAUUUUGAUCAGACGAACUACUGCGAAAGCAUUUAUCAAGGAUGUUUUCAUUAA